rnacentral:rRNA from 1 species
AUGAAUAGCUAACUGAAAUCAUAGAAUUUUUUUAAAUUCAUGAUGUCGUAAGGGAAAAUAAUGAUAAUACCUUACUAUGAGUGUCGUCCAAAACUGGUGCCAGAAGACUCGGUAAGACCAGAGACGCAAACGUUAAUCAUCAUAAACAGGCGUAAAGGGUUUGUAGGCAGCUUUUAUAAGGUUAUGAUUGCACAAAAAGAAAGGGUAAUCUACAUUGAAAGCUAGAAUCAAAAAGAGGUUAUAGUGUAUAACGCCUAGAGGAGGGCUGAUAUCCAUAGAUCCUAGGCAGAAUACUCAGGGCGAAGGCCACUCUCCACUAAUGAUUGACGCUGAGAAACGAAGGUUAGGGUAGGAAAUAGGAUUAGAUACCCCCGGUACUCCUUUCUGUAAACGAUGAAUGGUAGUCAUUAGUUUAAUUUAAAUAACUAGAGGCGAAGUUAACACAAUAACCAUUCCGCCUUGUGAGUACUACUGCAAAGUAGAAAACAAAAAAAUUAGUCGGUCUCGAAGCUUACG